rnacentral:rRNA from 1 species
GAUGAACGCUGGCGGCGUGCUUAACACAUGCAAGUCGAACGGUGAAGCAGAGCUUGCUCUGUGGAUCAGUGGCGAACGGGUGAGUAACACGUGAGCAAUCUGCCCCGGACUCUGGGAUAACAGUUGGAAACAGCUGCUAAUACUGGAUACGAGCUAGGGAGGCAUCUCCAUUAGCUGGAAAGAAUUUCGCUAUAGGAUUGGUUCGCGCCCUAUCAGCUUGUUGGUGAGGCAACGGCUCACCAAGGCUACUACGGGUACCUGGUCUGAGAGGACGAUCAGGCACACUGGAACUGAGACACGGUCCAGACACCUACGGGUGGCAGCAGUCGAGAAUAAUUCACAAUGGGGGCAACCCUGAUGGUGCAACGCCGCGUGGAGGAUGAAGGUCUUCGGAUUGUAAACUCCUGUCAUCUGGGAGUAAGGCGUGGAUGUUAACAGCAUACACGAUUGAUAGUACCAGAAGAGGAAGGGACGGCUAACUUCGUGCCAGCAGCCGCAGUAA